GAUGAACUCUGGCGGCGUGCCUAAUACAUGCAAGUCGAGCGAACAGACGAGGAGCUUGCUCCUCUGACGUUAGCGGCGGACGGGUGAGUAACACGUGGAUAACCUACCUAUAAGACUGGGAUAACUUCGGGAAACCGGAGCUAAUACCGGAUAAUAUAUUGAACCGCAUGGUUCAAUAGUGAAAGACGGUUUUGCUGUCACUUAUAGAUGGAUCCGCGCCGCAUUAGCUAGUUGGUAAGGUAACGGCUUACCAAGGCAACGAUGCGUAGCCGACCUGAGAGGGUGAUCGGCCACACUGGAACUGAGACACGGUCCAGACUCCUACGGGAGGCAGCAGUAGGGAAUCUUCCGCAAUGGGCGAAAGCCUGACGGAGCAACGCCGCGUGAGUGAUGAAGGUCUUCGGAUCGUAAAACUCUGUUAUUAGGGAAGAACAAAUGUGUAAGUAACUAUGCACGUCUUGACGGUACCUAAUCAGAAAGCCACGGCUAACUACGUG
rnacentral:rRNA from 1 species